GAUGAACGCUGGCGGCGUGCCUAAUACAUGCAAGUCGAACGCGCAGCGAAAGGUGCUUGCACCUUUCAAGCGAGUGGCGAACGGGUGAGUAACACGUGGAUAACCUGCCUCAAGGCUGGGGAUAACAUUUGGAAACAGAUACUAAUACCGAAUAAAACUUAGUAUCGCAUGAUACAAAGUUAAAAGGCGCUACGGCGUCACCUAGAGAUGGAUCCGCGGUGCAUUAGUUAGUUGGUGGGGUAAAGGCUUACCAAGACGAUGAUGCAUAGCCGAUUGGAGAGACUGAUCAGCCACAUUGGGAAUGAGACACGGCCCAAACUCCUACGGGAGGAUGCAGUAGGGAAUCUUCCACAAUGGGCGCAAGCCUGAUGGAGCAACGCCGCGUGUGUGGUGAAGGCUUUCGGGUCGUAAAGCACUGUUGUAUGGGAAGAAAUGCUAAAAUAGGGAAUGAUUUUAGUUUGACGGUACCAUACCAGAAAGGGACGGCUAAAUACGUGCCAGCAGCCGCCGUAA
rnacentral:rRNA from 1 species